GGCGCAGCGGCCGCCACGCUGCGCCCCGAGGCCCAGCCGCAGCGGCGCCGGCAGGAGCAGCUCCCGGUCGCCGAUUAGUUUUAUCUCGGAACGUCAAUUGACUUAUACUGAUUGGCUUCCAGCCGCCAAAUGUCAAUUAAAUUGCAAAUGUUCGGCGGAGGCCCAGCGCGGGGCGCGAUGGCAGGCGGCCCCUUCCUGAGGGCGCCCGGUGCUGCCGUGGGAGCUGAGAGGAAGACAUGUGACAUUGAUUUGGAAGAUUCUCUGAACCAUGAGGAAGAAUAGGAAGGAGGUCCAGGAAGGAGCCAUUCGCUGGAAGGAUGAAGCCUUGGGCCCCAGAGAGGUUUGGCUGUUGGCCUGUCAACUGUCUCCAGUGUACCUCUCCCUCUGCCUCUUCUGUCUGCUUCCCUGAGGCUGUCUCUUGAGAGAGAGCUACAAGAGUUCUUAACUGAUAAAAUGUCCAGCAUUUAAAAGCUACAAACCUGGCCAGUCGUCCUUUGCAGAGAAGAAAUGUUCACUGAACAAAAGUGCCAUUCAGAGGUACUGGAUGGAGUCUGUGUCUCAGAGAGAAAAGAAAUGAACGGAAGAUGGAGAAGGGGGGGCGGCGUAGGAGGACAGAAGAGAGGGAACCGGGAGCUAGAGGACUUGUCAGGCUUCCCGCAUCCAAAUGGGGCCCAGAUGGGACAGGACCACAGCUAAGAUCACACAGCAAGGCAAUACUGAAACCAAACAAGGGGACUCGGGCUCCUCCACCUGAGUAUGCGCUCACAGCCUACAACAGCACACACACACACACACACACACACACACACACACACACACACACACACACACACCAGGCACAGCUGGAAUCAGCUGAGAUUCCGAAGCAUGGGGUUAAAAUGCUACCUGUCUGGAGUGCUUGCCCAGCAUGCACAAGCACCGGGAAAGAUCCUGAUGCGUUCUGUAAACUGAGUGUGUGGUACACCUCUAAUCCAGGUAAUCCUGGUGGGAAAAUCAGAAGCUCAAGAUCAUCCUGGGCUACAAAGCAAGUUCAAGACCAGCAUGAGCAACACCAGCCCCUAUCUCAAUAAGUGAAUAAAUUCUGAUUGUUUCUUCUUUUCCUUCUGAACCUAGCCAGAAUAACCUUAUCAAGCUGAUAUACCAUGUUCAACAAGAGGGAAAGCCAGACAUGGUGCUUGCAAUCCUAGCACUUGGAAGACUGAGGCUGGAGAUUCAGUGUGAGUUGGAGGCCAGCGUGCUAUACAAUGAGAUCUUGAGAGAAAAAUGAUGCGGGGGCGGCGGGGGGAGGGGGUUAGGCAAAAGAACAGGGAAUAGAGAAAUGUCUCCUCAAGGCUUUCAUGUGGAAUCUUAGAUUCAGGGUAAAACCACUCUGCUCUGAUAUUAGAAAAAUAAUAAUCAUUCCCUUGGGCCAGCGCAAAUCAGAUAUUAUAGGUAACAUUUUUAGUUACUAAGAAAGAUGGGGAAGCCCCCUUUCUAACAGAUAAAGAAACCAGGCAUCAAGGGAGACCUUCAGCUGUGAAAGCACACAUGACUGCUGGGAGGGAUCCCAUGCAUCCAUGGCGUCAUCCAUGUGAGUGGCCGGGCAAUACUGGAGCUAACUGGCUCAAAUGUGGCCGGGAAGAGUGCAGAGCUGGAGAUGUGUUGGAAUGGAGGCCCGAGAGGUGAAACAAACCUGAGCUGUGUCUUUCCAAGUCCAGCCUCAGGGCAGAACUGGAGACAGCUGAGGACACGCCCUGGAGGACACUCCACCCUACACCAGCACUAUCCUGUUGUGACACUGGGAGGCAAACCAGGUCCCCACCCAUUCUGCCAAACUCCGGGCUGAGCUGGGUGACCUUGGACAACUUCCUUGAGCUCUCUGAAUCUCUGUAAAAGGGAGGGUGAUGAGAGUACCCAGUUGGUAAACUGGUCGCACUAACUGCAUCAGUCAUUUAAAUGCACGUCGUCAAAA